GUGUCAGCAGCCGCGGUAAUACGUAGGGAGCAAGCGUUGUCCGGAAUCAUUGGGCGUAAAGCGCGCGUAGGUGGCCCAGUAAGUCCGUUCUGAAAGUCACAGGCUCAACCUGUGAAAGCGGAUGGAUACUGCUGGGCUAGAGUCCGGAAGAGGCGAGUGGAAUUCCUGGUGUAGCGGUGGAAUGCGCAGAUAUCAGGAGGAACACCAACGGCGAAGGCAGCUCGCUGGGACGGUACUGACACUAAGGCGCGAAAGCGUGGGGAGCGAACAGGAUUAGAUACCCUGGUAGUCC
rnacentral:rRNA from 1 species